GUUUGAUCAUCUCAGCAAGUUUCAGUUAGACUCAAGAGAACAAUUUUGUAUAUCAUGAUUACUACGAGAAGCUGUGUGGAAACUAUUUUAAUCCUGUUCGCAACUUGCAUGGAAUGCAGAGGACAAGACUCUGUUAAACAGCCUCAGAGUUUCCAAUCAGCAUAUGAAGAGCAGGAUUCAGUAACUUUUGAUUGUAAAUACAAUAAUUACAAGCUCAAACCCUAUUCUAUUCUGGUACAGACAAAACAGUUAUGACUCUCCAAAAUAUAUUGUACGGAGACAUAAAUUUGGAGAUGGAGAUGAAGCCACUGAGUUCAAGGGUCGAUUUCACUCCAACCUUAAUUCUACUUCAAG